AACAUCCUGCUGACUUGAAAAUUGCUAUAUAAAUUGCACUGUAUAAUGCAAUAAUCAUGGAGGAUUGGACCAUCAGGAAAUUAAAGCAAAGUAACUGGAGCAAGAACAGCCCAAUGUACAGAUGAAUGUACAAAUAAUUUAAAAGCAGUGGUCUGAUGGCUUUGAAACACAUGUGAAUGGAGACGCAAUAGGUUUGGUGUUCAGCUUACCAUCUUACCAGAACAGAUUAGAAACCUGGAAGUGGUUAAAAACUAGAUUUCGAAUAAUGAUUGGUUUAGCUAUUUGAAUUGUAAAUUUAAAUGAUCUAAACUACCAAAUAAUUUAGUUAAGACAAGGAAAAAUAUGAAUGCAGAGGCGCAAAACAAAAUAGCAAACUUUGAAGACACAAUACCAAGUAAGAAGCAAAAGCACAAAAUAAAAUGUAAACAUAAUGCUUUAAGGUAUUUUUCAGGAUGUGGAAAUGAAGUCUAUCUCCUCGAGACACAAAGCCAAAAACACAACAGCUGAAGGAGAUCAAAUAAACUAAAAACCAUGCCCACCUACAUCGAACAGGCAAAAGGGAAGGAAAAAAAGGAUUGCAGAUAAAGGAAAACUACAAAUUCCAUAAGAAGAAAAACAGGGUGUGAGAGCAGGGGUGGAACUGGUGCGGCUCCCGAAAGAAAAAUAAAGCGAAGACUGCAAAGUUGCCCACAGAAUGGUUAAUGCCGGACUCGGACAAUGUUACGGAGGUG